rnacentral:rRNA from 1 species
AACGAACGCUGGCGGCAUGCCUAACACAUGCAAGUCGAACGAGACCCUCCGGGCUAGUGGCGCACGGGUGCGUAACGCGCGGGAAAAUGCCCUCAGGGUCGCAAUAUAACCCCGAAAACCGUCCUAAAAUACCGUAAUGUCUUGGGACCACAGAUUUAUAGCCUGUGGAUGGGCCCGCGUUGGAUUAGCUAGUUGGUAGGGUAAAAGCCUACCAAGGCGACGAUCCAUAGAUGGUCUGGGAGGAUGAUCAGCCACACUGGGACUGAGACACGGCCCAGACUCCUACGGGAGGCAGCAGUGGGGAAUAUUGGGCAAUGGGCGAAAGCCUGAUCCAGCAAUGCCGCGUGAGUGAUGAAGGCCUUAGGGUUGUAAAGCUCUUUUACCCGGGAUGAUAAUGACAGUACCGGGAGAAUAAGCUCCGGCUAACUCCGUG